GAUGAACGCUAGCUACAGGCUUAACACAUGCAAGUCGAGGGGAAACGAUAUUGGAAGCUUGCUUCUGAUAGGCGUCGACCGGCGCACGGGUGAGUAACGCGUAUCCAACCUGCCCAUCACUUGGGGAUAACCUUGUGAAAGUAAGACUAAUACCCAAUGACGUCUCUAGAAGACAUCUGAAAGAGAUUAAAGAUUUAUCGGUGAUGGAUGGGGAUGCGUCUGAUUAGCUUGUUGGCGGGGUAACGGCCCACCAAGGCGACGAUCAGUAGGGGUUCUGAGAGGAAGGUCCCCCACAUUGGAACUGAGACACGGUCCAAACUCCUACGGGAGGCAGCAGUGAGGAAUAUUGGUCAAUGGACGAGAGUCUGAACCAGCCAAGUAGCGUGCAGGAUGACGGCCCUAUGGGUUGUAAACUGCUUUUAUAAGGGAAUAAAGUGGGAGUCGUGAGACUUUUUGCAUGUACCUUAUGAAUAAGGACCGGCUAAUUCCGUGCCAGCAG
rnacentral:rRNA from 1 species